ACCUCAAAGUCCCAGCCUAGAAGUAGAUUCACCCACUUUAAACCAGGCAAAAAUAAUCUCUCAUAGGUGUGCCUUCCAUUUCUGGAUUGUUGUUCCUUCCAGAUGGAGUCAAGCUGACAACCAGGAGCGGCCAUCACAGGUGGGCAGAGAAAGAGGGCUGGAGAGAGAGAUCUGAGUGAGGUAAGAAAUCCAAGCCAGGAUGCACAUAGGAAUCCACUGUGGGAUAUUCCAGAGCCACUGAGGAGACAAAGCACACAUGAUUGGUGUGGAGCUUUGACCACGAGCUUUAGGACUUUAAUUUCCUGCAGGAGGCCAGAGCACAAUAGAGAUGUUUCUAUAUCUGCAGGUGCUACAGUCAGAGGGAGUCCAGGUCAGUCCAUCUCCAAGAUCUUACCAGGACCCCACCAACGCCAAGGCAGAAUCAUCGUCAACUUCCCUGUCUUGAUCAGUGCUAAAGAGAGCAGCUGUUUCCACUCCCUCCUUGCUGCUUCCCACCCACUGGAUAACAAGUUCUGUCACAAACUUGGACCAAGGACAUAUUGAGCAGUGGCCUUUCAGUUUUACUGUAGUACCACAAAGGAGACAACCAGGGAUGGAGAGAUGGCUCAGCUAUUAAGAUCACUUGUUAUUGGACGCAGGUUCUAUUCCCAGCACCCACAUGGUGGUUCACAACCAUCGGUAAGUCUAGUUCCAGGGGACGCAACACCUUCUUUUGAACUCUGUAUACCAAGCACUCAUGUGGUACACAUAACAUGCAGGUAAAACAUUCACUGUAAAAUAAAAAACACAAAUCAAAUUGAGAGAGAGAGAGAGAGAGAGAGAGAGAGAGAGAGAGAGAGAGAGAGAGACC
rnacentral:lncRNA from 1 species